rnacentral:rRNA from 1 species
AUUCGCGGCCUAUCAGCUUGUUGGUGGGGUAAUGGCCUACCAAGGCGACGACGGGUAGCCGGCCUGAGAGGGUGACCGGCCACACUGGGACUGAGACACGGCCCAGACUCCUACGGGAGGCAGCAGUGGGGAAUAUUGCACAAUGGGCGGAAGCCUGAUGCAGCGACGCCGCGUGAGGGAUGACGGCCUUCGGGUUGUAAACCUCCUUCAGUAGGGAAGAAGCGAGAGUGACGGUACCUGCAGAAGAAGCGCCGGCUAACUACGUGCCAGCAGCCGCGGUAAUACGUAGGGCGCAAGCGUUAUCCGGAAUUAUUGGGCGUAAAGAGCUCGUAGGCGGUUUGUCGCGUCUGCCGUGAAAGUCCGGGGCUCAACCCCGGAUCUGCGGUGGGUACGGGCAGACUAGAGUGCUGUAGGGGAGACUGGAAUUCCUGGUGUAGCGGUGAAAUGCGCAGAUAUCAGGAGGAACACCGAUGGCGAAGGCAGGUCUCUGGGCAGUAACUGACGCUGAGGAGCGAAAGCAUGGGGAGCGAACAAGAUUAGAUACCCUGGUAGUCCAUGCCGUAAACGUUGGGCACUAGAUGUGGGGGACAUUCCACGUUCUCCGCGUCGUAGCUAACGCAUUAAGUGCCCCGCCUGGGGAGUACGGAAU